rnacentral:lncRNA from 1 species
UUUUCAAACUCGUUUUUUAUCGGUUAUAACUUGAGGAUGAAGUUCUCUUGGUUAAUUGUUAAUCAACAUUCUAUACACUUGACACUCCAAUCUGUUUAUGUCAGCACACAAUAUUUUGAAACUCCCUUUGUGCCGGUUAUAACCUGUGGGUGAAGCGCUCUUGAUCAACCAUUAUAGUAUACGCUAGCACACUCCAAUCCGAACAAUCAUCAUCUCCAAUGAUAAUUAACCUGGCAUAUAACGGCCACUAAUCUCUUCAAGGGACAUCUAAAUCGUUGCCUUGUCCUACCUCCCCCGCAAGCAUGCAUAUACGCCAAUCAUAUGGGACCAAGGAUAACAUCAAGGUCGUAGAAACUUUUGCGACACCAUCAAGGCACGAGCAGGCACCGGAUCCUUGCGAUUUGCGAAAGCACUCCUGUUGUCGGACUCACUAUUCAGUAUUCAGCACGCCUUGUCCGGCGGAGUCAAUAAUCCCGGCACGUUGGACUGUGCAUUCAUUGCAUCGUCCGAAAGGCGAAAGAUAUU